CACAUGCUACACAUUUACAGC
rnacentral:snRNA from 1 species